rnacentral:sRNA from 1 species
CAACAACUGAAAGGAGGUGACCAGUGUCUCAUUGUCUCCAACCGCGGUCGCAAGUCGUGACCUGGGGCCUGAAGAUCGAGGUCUCCAACUGAAGGCGUUGAACGCCUAAGGUUCGAAGUCACGCUGCGGACGCGGCUACGACGAUGGAGGGCCGUCCCGAGCGAUCGGGGCGGCCC